rnacentral:rRNA from 1 species
UAGGGAAUCUUCCACAAUGGACGCAAGUCUGAUGGAGCAACGCCGCGUGAGUGAAGAAGGUUUUCGGAUCGUAAAGCUCUGUUGUUGGUGAAGAAGGAUAGAGGCAGUAACUGGUCUUUAUUUGACGGUAAUCAACCAGAAAGUCACGGCUAACUACGUGCCAGCAGCCGCGGUAAUACGUAGGUGGCAAGCGUUGUCCGGAUUUAUUGGGCGUAAAGCGAGCGCAGGCGGAAUGAUAAGUCUGAUGUGAAAGCCCACGGCUCAACCGUGGAACUGCAU